rnacentral:rRNA from 1 species
GACGAACGCUGGCGGCGUGCCUAAUACAUGCAAGUCGAACGCAGUGGGGACGGGUGAGUAACACGUGGGUAACCUCCCAUCAGAGGGGAUAACACUUGGAAACAGGUGCUAAACCGAUACUGAUGGAUGGACCCGCGGUGCAUUAGCUAGUUGGUGAGGUAACGGCUCACCAAGGCAACGAUGCCUAGCUGACCUGAGAGGAGGAGCGGCCACACUGGAACUGAUAAACGGCCCAGACUCCUACGGGAGGCAGCAGUGGGGAAUCUUCGGCAAUGGGAGAAAGUCUGCCGGAGCAAUGCCGCGUGAGUGAAGAAGGUUUUCGGAUCGUAAAACUCUGUUGUUAGGGAAGCGUUAUCUAACCAGAAAGCCACGGCUAACUACGUGCCAGCAGCCGCGGUAAUUC